rnacentral:RNase_P_RNA from 3 species
UUGGCACGGUAAGUGAUUGCUUCAGUAGAAGAGGAAAGUCCGAGCUGCAAAAGACAGAAGUUCCAUCUAACGGAUGGCUAGGGAAACCUAAGGGAAAGUGUAACAGAGAGCAGACUGCCGCUAAUGGCGGUAAAGGUGAAACGGUGGGGUAAGAGCCCACCAGCGUUGCGUGAAAAUGCGACGGCUUUAUAAACCCAACUUGCAGCAAGAAGGGAUGGUUUUAGUCUUUAUUUUAACCCUUCGCUAGAGCUGGUUUGUAAAAUCCAGCGUAGAUAAAUAAUCACUCACGACAGAACUCGGCUUAUCGCCGUGCCACUUAA